GGGUGCUAUACAUGCAAGUCGAAGCGGACAGAUGGGAGCUUGCUCCCUGAUGUUAGCGGCGGACGGGUGAGUAACACGUGGGUAACCUGCCUGUAAGACUGGGAUAACUCCGGGAAACCGGGGCUAAUACCGGAUGGUUGUUUGAACCGCAUGGUUCAGACAUAAAAGGUGGCUUCGGCUACCACUUACAGAUGGACCCGCGGCGCAUUAGCUAGUUGGUGAGGUAACGGCUCACCAAGGCGACGAUGCGUAGCCGACCUGAGAGGGUGAUCGGCCACACUGGGACUGAGACACGGCCCAGACUCCUACGGGAGGCAGCAGUAGGGAAUCUUCCGCAAUGGACGAAAGUCUGACGGAGCAACGCCGCGUGAGUGAUGAAGGUUUUCGGAUCGUAAAGCUCUGUUGUUAGGGAAGAACAAGUGCCGUUCAAAUAGGGCGGCACCUUGACGGUACCUAACCAGAAAGCCACGGCUAACUACGUGCCAGCAGCCGCGGUAAUACGUAGGUGGCAAGCGUUGUCCGGAAUUAUUGGGCGUAAAGGGCUCGCAGGCGGUUUCUUAAGUCUGAUGUGAAAGCCCCCGGCUCAACCGGGGAGGGUCAUUGGAAACUGGGGAACUUGAGUGCAGAAGAGGAGAGUGGAAUUCCACGUGUAGCGGUGAAAUGCGUAGAGAUGUGGAGGAACACCAGUGGCGAAGGCGACUCUCUGGUCUGUAACUGACGCUGAGGAGCGAA
rnacentral:rRNA from 1 species